AAGACUAUAGACCUGCGGAGUACCUGCGGAAGGAUCAUUAUUGAAUAAACUUGGAACAAGUUGUUGCUGGCUUCAAAAAAAAAAGAAAGCAUGUGCACGCUUGCUCCAUUUUUUUUUCAAAAACCUCUUGUGCAUCUGUGUAAAUCUGAACCACUUCGAGACAAAGUGAACCCACUUUACUCGGUCUUGAGAAUUGUCAUGCCACAAGGCGAGGCUUUUCUUGUUUUCAGAUUUAUGUAU
rnacentral:misc_RNA from 1 species